UACAGAGGUGGCAAGCGUUGUUCGGGAUUACUGGGCGUAAAGGGCGCGUAGGCGGUCUUCUAAGUCUUGUGUGAAAUCCCUCGGCUCAACUGAGGAACUGCACGGGAUACUGGAAGACUUGAGUUCGGGAGAGGGAAGCGGAAUUCCGGGUGUAGCGGUGAAAUGCGUAGAUAUCCGGAGGAACACCGGUGGCGAAGGCGGCUUCCUGGACCGAUUACUGACGCUGAGGCGCGAAAGCUAGGGGAGCAAACGGG
rnacentral:rRNA from 1 species